rnacentral:rRNA from 1 species
AUUGAACGCUGGCGGCAGGCCUAACACAUGCAAGUCGAGCGGAGCGGCGGACGCGGAAGUAAUGCCUAGGAAUCUGCCUGGUAGCGGGGGAUAACGUCCGGAAACGGGCGCUAAUACCGCAUACUAUCAGAUGAGCCUAGGUCGGAUUAGCUAGUUGUGGGGGUAAAGGCAUACCAAGGCGACGAUCCGUAACUGGUCUGAGAGGAUGAUCAGUCACACUGGAACUGAGACACGGUCCAGACUCCUACGGGAGGCAGCAGUGGGGAAUAUUGGACAAUGGGCGAAAGCCUGAUCCAGCCAUGCCGCGUGUGUGAAGAAGGUCUUCGGGUUGUAAAGCACUUUUAGUUGGGAGGCGUUACCUACAGAAUAAGCACCGGCUAACUUCGUGCCAGCAGCCGCGGUAAUUC